rnacentral:tRNA from 1 species
AUCAAAUUAGCAAAGAUUAUGCAAUUGAUUUAGGAUCAAUAGACAUAGGUGAAAAACCUUUAUUUGAUA